rnacentral:rRNA from 1 species
AACGAACGCUGGCGGCGUGGAUAAGACAUGCAAGUCGAACGGGACAAGUAGCAAUAUUUGUCUAGUGGCGAACGGGUGCGUAACACGUGGGCAACAUGCCUGGAAGAGCGGGAUAGCCCGGGGAAACUCGGAUUAAUACCGCAUGUGGCAACGGGGCGGAUUCGCCCUGUUUUCAAAGGUGGGGACCGCAAGGCCUGCCGCUUCCAGAUUGGCCCGCGUCCUAUCAGCUAGUUGGCGGGGGAACGGCCCACCAAGGCGACGACGGGUAGCUGGUCUGAGGGGACGACCAGCCACACUGGAACUGAGACACGGUCCAGACACCUACGGGUGGCAGCAGUCGAGAAUCUUUCACAAUGGGGGAAACCCUGAUGGAGCGACGCCGCGUGGAGGAUGACGGUCUUCGGAUUGUAAACUCCUGUCAUGAAAGAACAAGCGGAGCGGGUGAACAGCCCGCCGAGUUGAUAGUAUUUCAAGAGGAAGGGACGGCUAACUUCGUGCCAGCAGCCGCAGUAAUAC